rnacentral:sRNA from 1 species
UGUUUCCAAAUAUAACACUUGGGCUAAGGGUCAAGUCGAUAAUUUUUCUUAAAUCGGCCCCUCCCCUAUCAUAUAUGCCCCCAAAACAAAGGUCCUUGAAAGCA